GGCCUGUAGCUCAGUCGGUAGAGCGCCGGUCUCCAAAACCGGAGGUGGCAGGUUCAAGACCUGCACAACCCG
rnacentral:tRNA from 1 species